ACGGAUGAGUAACGCGUGGGAACCUACCCAGAACUUCGGAAUAACACAUGGAAACGUGUGCUAAUACCGGAUACGCCCUACGGGGGAAAGAUUUAUCGGUUUUGGAUGGGCCCGCGUAAGAUUAGCUAGUCGGUGAGGUAAUGGCUCACCAAGGCGACGAUCUUUAGCUGGUCUGAGAGGAUGAUCAGCCACACUGGGACUGAGACACGGCCCAGACUCCUACGGGAGGCAGCAGUGGGGAAUAUUGGACAAUGGGCGCAAGCCUGAUCCAGCCAUGCCGCGUGAGUGAUGAAGGCCUUAGGGUUGUAAAGCUCUUUCAGUAGGGAAGAUAAUGACGGUACCUACAGAAGAAGCCCCGGCUAACUUCGUGCCAGCAGCCGCGGUAAUACGAAGGGGGCUAGCGUUGUUCGGAUUUACUGGGCGUAAAGCGCACGUAGGCGGAUCGUUAAGUUAGGGGUGAAAUCCUGGAGCUCAACUCCAGAACUGCCUCUAAUACUGGCGAUCUAGAGUCCGGAAGAGGUGAGUGGAACUCCUAGUGUAGAGGUGGAAUUCGUAGA
rnacentral:rRNA from 1 species